CUCCCUCUCCGGCCGUCGGUAUUCUCCCUCUAUGUUGUUGUGGAACUUGGUUUCUUCUUUAACGUAUUAUCGUCGUUGAUGUGCCCUGUGAUAUUCUCUCUUGCGCGCGAAUAAUUGAAUUAUAGCUUCUUGUUGGUGGACUCCAGAUCAUGGUCAUGAUCAGAUUGUUGCUUAUAUAAGUUUUCUUUUUUCUUUUUCCUUUUGAUUCUUGAUUGACGAUGACUAAAGCUUGAUUGAACAAAUUAAGAAGCAAAAGCUGAAGACCACCUCUCUCUCCUCUCUCUCUCUCUGUUUUUUUUUUUUUUUACUCGUAAGGCUCAGAUAUGGGGAUUUUGGUUUGUGAUCUAUCCCACCAGCAAAGGGGAAGUUCGCUGCCUUUUUUGUUCUUUGUUUCGGAGUCUUUUACUCGUUAUUGUCGAGAAAUAAACAUGUUUGUUUUGCUUCUUCAACUUGAAUACAUUAGUUAUUAGAAUAUAAAGCCGAUACAUUCUAAGCUUGGAAAGAUUUUAUAUUCUAUUAUGUUAUACUAUAUUGAGCUAUAUAUAUAUAUAUGGCACGUUUUGUAUGUAUGUGAUUAUCAUAUUUGUUAUGUAAAGAGUUAUGUGUUGAUUUCCCCACUUCAUGUAAUGUCAGUGUUGGAGAGGAAUGCGUACAUCUCAAUAUUUUUUUUAUGAACAGAUUAGGAAAACUAAUUGAAUUUCUCUUUUAUGUACGCCGGUAAUAAUGGCCAAGUUCAUUUGGUUCGCCACCUCAUGCUUGUAUCCUGCUGAUUUCAUGAGUUUCGUGUUCAAAUUGCCGACCAGGAGAAAUAUUUUGCAUUGAUUAGGAAGCUUCAGCCCCCAUCCUUUUUGUUUCUGAUAAAGAGAAAGAAAUUGACAAGAUAAAAACAUGAAUAGAAGAGAAGAAAAGAGUUCAACCGUUUUUGGGGUGAUAAUAUUAAUGUUCCAUUGGCCUAAUUAGCUAGGUUUGCAGUACAUCUCAACCAUUAUAUUUCUUCUAAUGGCACCUGAAAGUUUCUACGGUUGCUUUCACCUUAUUCAUUAUUCUUCCCAGAAAGCAAACUUGAAAUUCUGCGCUUGCGAAAGGGGAAGAAAUAAAAGUGCUGCUUUCCAGAAUCUGUAUCACGCUGAUCGUUCUGUAUAGAAGAAGAGUAUGCACUACUUAUGGCAGUAGUUUGUUGCAAAGAGCAUAUUCAAUCUGCAUUGCUGGAAAAGAGCUCCAAUGUGAAAUGCUUUCUUUAUGGCAAGGACUAAUGGCUGAAAACAUUCUGAUUCCUAAAACACUCAGAGUCGAGAAAAUGGUAGCUACAAUUUUUCCUUCUCAUAUAUGUAUUGCUCUUGAAAAUCUUUAAGAGAACGUAGAAAACGAGUCAAGAGAAAAUAAUUGAUGCAUCUACAGAUUUGCAAGGUGUAGAAAUUUGAAUUUUUCAUUGCCUUCAAAAUUUUACAUUACUGCACCUCUCUCUCUCUCUCUCUCUCUCUCUCUCUCUCUCUCUCUCAUGGAGAUGUAUACACUUCAGAAUUGCUAGUUGCAUUUAUUACAAUUGCUACUUAUUAUUAGUCUAGAAGGACCAUAUAUAGAACGGGGAACAUGCACAUGAAGUGCUCAACUUUACCAGCGUUGUUAAUCUUCGUUCUCUUUCCAACAAAGCAGCAUGGCUAUGCAACGUCGGAUUAUGUACAACUUUGCUCUCUUCUCCUUGAAGGUUUUCGCCUUUGGCACUCGAACCUUGGUUUGCCUUUGCUGUGAAGUAGAAAAUUCCAUGAACUUGGUUCUGAGACAACCCCUUGGAACCUCGUUUGUCCUAGAUUGUUAGCUAGGACUUUUGAGUGUUCUUCCCUCUAGGAAUCUUUUUAUGUAUAGGAGUUACUGUAGUUUCUUUCAGUUUUUGUCUUUUACAAAGUCAAAAAACAAAAUAAUUGGUAAACCUAAAAAAAGGUCUGAAAAAGCAACUCUACUGUUCUACUAAAAGUUAAGCCUGGAGUUCAAUUUCUUCUCCCAUAUGCUGCAUUAAUUUACUUCUCUGUUCAUAAUCCGGAAUUUCGGGUUAAUUGUAUUUGAACACCCAAAUUACAGUUUUUUUUUUUUUGGUCCA